rnacentral:rRNA from 1 species
AGUCGAAAAAUACGAACAACAGUUUAAAACUUAAAGAUUUUGGCGGUGUCUUAUCGAACCAGGGGAACCUGUCUCAUAAUUCGAUAAUCCACGAUAACCCUACCCUAUCUAGAUCAAACAGCUUGUGUACUGCCGUCGUAAGCACACCUCUAAAAGUAGUAAGUAUGCAAUAAUGAUAUUCUCAUUUACGUCAGGUCAAAGUGCAGCUUAUGAAAGGGAGAUGAUGGGUUACACCCUAAAUAAAGAUACCAAUUGUAACACCAAAAGUUACAUAAAGGUGGACUUGGUUGUAAUUAUAAUUCAAUACUAUAAUGAAAACGAAUCUAAGACAUGCACACAUCGCCCGUCACUCUCGCCUAAAGGCG